rnacentral:rRNA from 1 species
UACGUAGGGGGCUAGCGUUGUCCGGAAUCAUUGGGCGUAAAGAGCGUGUGAGGCGGUCCGGUAAGUCCGCUGUGAAAGUCGGGGGCUCAACCCUCGAAUGCCGGUGGAUACUGUCGGGCUAGAGUGCGGAAGAGGCGAGUGGAAUUCCUGGUGUAGCGGUGAAAUGACGCAGAUAUCAGGAGGAACACCUAUUGCGAAGGCAGCUCGCUGGGACGUAACUGACGCUGAGACGCGAAAGCGUGGGGAGCAAACAGG